GGGAAAGUGGCUCAGUGGUAGAGCACUUGCCUUGCAUGCAUGAGGCCCUGGGUUCAAUUCCUCAGCACCA
rfam:Dipodomys ordii contig_10732, whole genome shotgun sequence.